GACGAACCUGACAAACGUUAUUCGGAAUUACUGGGCUUAAAGGGUGCGUAGGCGGCGCGACAAGUUGGGUGUGAAAUCCCUCGGCUCAACCGAGGAACUGCGCUCAAUACUGUCGUGCUCGAGGGAGACAGAGGUGAGCGGAACUUAGGGUGGAGCGGUGAAAUGCGUUGAUAUCCUAAGGAACACCGGUAGCGAAAGCGGCUCACUGGGUCUUUUCUGACGCUGAGGCACGAAAGCGUGGGGAGCAAACAGG
rnacentral:rRNA from 1 species